GAUGAAGAACGUAGCGAAAUGCGAUACGUAAUGUGAAUUGCAGAAUUCAGUGAAUCAUCGAGUCUUUGAACGCUCAUUGCGCCCCCUGGUAUUCCGGGGGGCAUGCCUGUCCGAGCGUCAUUGCUGCCCUCAAGCACGGCUUGUGUGUUGGGCCUCCGUCCUCCUCCCGGGGGACGGGCCCGAAAGGCAGCGGCGGCACCGCGUCCGGUCCUCGAGCGUAUGGGGCUUCGUCACCCGCUCUUGUAGGCCCGGCCGGCGCUUGCCGACACAUCAAUCUUUUUUCCAGGUUGACCUUGGAUCAGGUAGGGAUACCCGCUGAACUUAAGCAUAUCAAUAAGCGGAGGA
rnacentral:misc_RNA from 1 species